rnacentral:sRNA from 1 species
ACACCCGGAAGAAGGGGCCCGAGCGGAGCCGGCCGCGAUGAGCGGGGAGCCGGGGCAGACGUCUGUAGCGCCCCCUCCCGAGGAGGUCGAGCCGGGCAGUGGGGUCCGCAUCGUGGUGGAGUACUGGUGAGCGGCCCCGGCUGGAGGACCCCCACCCUGGUCCCGCGGGCCGGACGGAGGUGCCUUUGAGAUAGAGAUAAAUGGACAGCUGGUGUUCUCCAAGCUGGAGAAUGGGGGCUUUCCCUAUGAGAAAGAUCUCAUUGAGGCCAUCCGAAGAGCCAGUAAUGGAGAACCCCUAGAAAAGAUCACCAACAGCCGUCCUCCCUGCGUCAUCCUUUGACUGCACAGGACUCUGGGUUCCUGCUCUGUUCUGGGGUCCAAACCUUGGUCUCCCUUUGGUCCUGCUGGGAGCUCCCCCUGCCUCUUUCCCCUACUUAGCUCCUUAGCAAAGAGACCCUGGCCUCCACUUUGCCCCUUUGGGUACAAAGAAGGAAUAGAAGAUUCCGUGGCCUUGGGGGCAGGAGAGAGACACUCUCCAUGGACACUUCUCCAGCCACCUCAUACCCCCUUCCCAGGGUAAGUGCCCACGAAAGCCCAGUCCACUCUUCACCUCGGUAAUACCUGUCUGAUGCCACAGAUUUUAUUUAUUCUCCCCUAACCCAGGGCAAUGUCAGCUAUUGGCAGUAAAGUGACGCUACAAACACUAA